CAGAGUGUAAAAACUCCCAAACCCACUGUGAACCUACCACUGUUGCUUCGGCGGAUGCGCCCCGGGCGCGCCCUCACAGGCGUGCCCCGGAUCCAGGCGCCCGCCGGGGGACCCAAACUCUUGUUUUCCAAAGCAUCUCUGAGUCUGAUUAUACAAAUCAAUCA
rnacentral:misc_RNA from 1 species